rnacentral:lncRNA from 1 species
ACCCGAAGACUUAAAUGAAUAGCCAUCGCUGUUAAGAACAACCGAGAUCCAAUGAGAAUUAGCGCACAGCUUCUGGUCUUUGACAUCAAAAAAGAAGGUUGUAAUAACGAUAACGAAAGGGACAUCUGAUAAUUUUGUCCUAGCUAGUGGAACAAGAAAGACAUGGAUCUAUAUUCAAUACGCAAUCAAAGGAUUUAUCCCAACGAAUAAUUCCCCCUGCUUAGUUUUCGCUCCGCUCGUGCGUGGCACUCCUUGCUGGCGGAGCGGCAUACCGAAAAAAAAGAAAGAAAGAUCAUGAGUAUACUUAAUACCAACCCGUUUGGUCUCGAUAAAAGUAAAAGUGACUACAUCUCCAGCGGACCCUGACGUGAACAGACGCUUUCUCGGAGAAAGCUUUUUUUCUUUGUUUGUUGACUUCACUUAGCAAGCCUCGAAUCCAAAUCCUUUCUACGCGACUUUCUUAUCUUAUUAAAUUUCUACUCAGCUUGAAAAGA